GUCAAAGACCGCAUUUCUCCCAGGCAGUGCUCCGAAAUUGGUUUGUCAUAUGCGCAGAGAGCAAAGCCUUGGAAGCAAAAAAUAUAUCGAGUUCUUUGCCGUGGAGAUUUUCAAACAAGACACAUUUAUUUGGCAUAGCCUACUCUUUUUUUGCGCUAAUGUGUUUUGCCUUUGAGCUUUUACUUUCGGACGUGAUGUAGUAGUUACUGCACAAGAGGACGUGUUGUGCGCCACUUCUUUUGAGGGACUGUCAUCUGGAUACACAAGGAGACCGUUCUUUCUCCAGCAAUAUCGACAGUACACGGAUCAUACAGACAUGUCCAGCUCUUCUAGCCUACCAUCGGACAUCUGAGAAAAUAUAAGCGGAGUUAUUCGAAAUUAUUAUUUGGAAUCGCCCUUUUCCCUCAACCCUCUGAGGAGACUGAUCUGUGCGCAAGGACGAUAUCAAUUGUGUUAAGAAAAUAAGUGUGAACAAUUUUAUUACUCACACUUUCAAUGGGAGGACUAUUUGAAGGGUAUAAUCGUUUCACCAGUGUCUUCUAAAACACGCUCCCACCUGUGAAGUUAGGUGUCCCUUUGUGCCCGUCUAAAAAAUAAACGACACUCAGCGACCGGGUCUCCGGAGUCUCUGCCUUGACAACCAACGCGCACCCGGAGAUCUAAAGGUGAUAGGAGCAACCUGAAAUCCUACCCCAUUGUCUUACUGGAGGGA
ensembl:lncRNA